AUGUAGCUCACUGGUAGAGCGCUUGCCUAACAUGCACAAGGCCCUGGGUUCAAUACCCAGUAU
rnacentral:tRNA from 1 species